rnacentral:misc_RNA from 1 species
UACGUAGGUGGCAAGCGUUGUCCGGAAUUAUUGGGCGUAAAGCGCGCGUAGGUGGCUAAGUAAGAUGGGCGUGGAAUCCCCGGGCUCAACCUGGGAACUGCAUCCGAAACUGGCAGGCUAGAGUCUUGUAGAGGGGGGUAGAAUUCCAGGUGUAGCGGUGAAAUGCGUAGAGAUCUGGAGGAAUACCGGUGGCGAAGGCGGCCCCCUGGACAAAGACUGACGCUCAGGUGCGAAAGCGUGGGGAGCAAACAGG